rnacentral:rRNA from 1 species
GACGAACGCUGGCGGCGUGCUUAACACAUGCAAGUCGAACGGAAAGGCCUCUUUCGGGGGGUACUCGAGUGGCGAACGGGUGAGUAACACGUGAGUAACCUGCCCUUGACUUUGGGAUAACUUCAGGAAACUGGGGCUAAUACCGGAUAGGAGCUCCUGCUGCAUGGUGGGGGUUGGAAAGUUUCGGCGGUUGGGGAUGGACUCGCGGCUUAUCAGCUUGUUGGUGGGGUAGUGGCUUACCAAGGCUUUGACGGGUAGCCGGCCUGAGAGGGUGACCGGCCACAUUGGGACUUAGAUACGGCCCAGACUCCUACGGGGGGCAGCAGUGGGGAAUAUUGCACAAUGGGUGGAAGCCUGAUGCAGCAACGCCGUGGGCGGGAUGACGGCCUUCGGGUUGUAAACCGCUUUCGCUCAUGACGAAGCUUUGUGUGACGGUAGUGGGUAAAGAAGCACCGGCUAACUACGUG